AGAUAAGGAUGCCUCCUCUCUUUCCAAGCUAGCUCCGAUGCAACCGCUAUCGAAUUAGCUCUUGGGGAUAUCAUAGGUAAGAAGGAGGCCAAUGCCGGAGGAAGUGAAUAAAUCAUAAGAGGUUGUUAAAAAGGGUCUGUUGCUUGCCCGAGUAGGGGAAGGGAUUGGCCUAAGGCAAGGUUUACUUAUCCCACUCUAGUGCUGGUAGGAAGCCUCCUUUCGAGUAGUCUCAUAGGUCAGACCGGUUCCAACCAUUCUUGCUAAGGCUUUAUCCCACUCUAGUGCUGGUUGGAAGCCUCCUUUCGAGUAGUCUCAUAGGUCAGACCGGUUCCAACCGUUCUUGCUAAGGCUCCUAGCGAAAGAUAAAACUUAAGAGUCAAAAAAAUUUCUUGUCUUAGACUUAGAUAGCA
rnacentral:lncRNA from 1 species